UACGUAGGUGGCAAGCGUUGUCCGGAUUUAUUGGGUUUAAAGGGUGCGUAGGCGGCCCUGUAAGUCAGUGCUGAAAUAUCCCGGCUUAACCGGGAGGGUGGCAUUGAUACUGCAGGGCUUGAGUACAGAUGAGGUAGGCGGAAUUGACGGUGUAGCGGUGAAAUGCAUAGAUAUCGUCAAGAACACCGAUAGCGAAGGCAGCUUACUAGACUGUAACUGACGCUGAGGCACGAAAGUGUGGGGAUCAAACAGGAUUAGAAACCCUGGUAGU
rnacentral:rRNA from 1 species